UGGAUCCAGACUUUGAUCAUGGCUCAGGAUGAACGCUAGCUACAGGCUUAACACAUGCAAGUCGAGGGGCAGCGGGAUUGAAGCUUGCUUCAAUUGCCGGCGACCGGCGCACGGGUGAGUAACGCGUAUCCAACCUUCCGUACACUCAGGGAUAGCCUUUCGAAAGAAAGAUUAAUACCUGAUAGUAUCUUAAGCACACAUGUAAUUAAGAUUAAAGAUUUAUCGGUGUACGAUGGGGAUGCGUUCCAUUAGGUAGUAGGCGGGGUAACGGCCCACCUAGCCGACGAUGGAUAGGGGUUCUGAGAGGAAGGUCCCCCACAUUGGAACUGAGACACGGUCCAAACUCCUACGGGAGGCAGCAGUGAGGAAUAUUGGUCAAUGGACGAGAGUCUGAACCAGCCAAGUAGCGUGAAGGAUGAAGGUCCUACGGAUUGUAAACUUCUUUUAUAAGGGAAUAAACCCUCCCACGUGUGGGAGCCUGUAUGUACCUUAUGAAUAAGCAUCGGCUAACUCCGUGCCAGCAGCCGCGGUAAUACGGAGGAUGCGAGCGUUAUCCGGAUUUAUUGGGUUUAAAGGGAGCGCAGACGGGUCGUUAAGUCAGCUGUGAAAGUUUGGGGCUCAACCUUAAAAUUGCAGUUGAUACUGGCGUCCUUGAGUGCGGUUGAGGUGUGCGGAAUUCGUGGUGUAGCGGUGAAAUGCUUAGAUAUCACGAAGAACUCCGAUUGCGAAGGCAGCACACUAAUCCGUAACUGACGUUCAUGCUCGAAAGUGUGGGUAUCAAACAGGAUUAGAUACCCUGGUAGUCCACACGGUAAACGAUGGAUACUCGCUGUUGGCGAUAUACUGUCAGCGGCUUAGCGAAAGCGUUAAGUAUCCCACCUGGGGAGUACGCCGGCAACGGUGCAACUCAAAGGAAUUGACGGA
rnacentral:rRNA from 1 species